rnacentral:rRNA from 1 species
GAUGCACAUAUUGUGCGCCUUGCUCCCUUAUAUGCAGAUUUGCGGAACACUCGAUGGACUUGGAGUGCAGCGCCUUGGGCGAAAACUGGACCUUCGAUAGAAUCCUGGAAGAUCAAACAGAGGACUCAACAGCUGGCAGAGUUUGCGGACGAGGUGUUCCGUAGGAGGAGGGGCGUUUAGCCCAAAACUUCGCCGUGUGGUUAGCGGGCGAGAAUACUUCCACAGCCCGCUAUUGCUUGUCGUAAGAGGCGACUAAUAUAGCGAUAGGUUCCUCUAACCGUGCUUGUCGGAGCAAAAGGAGGAGGCCCACCGAGCCUCUCUUUCGGUACCACGGGUUGUGCAGCUAUCCAAGACUGCACAUUGAGGUAGGCCCCCUGGUGGGAGUAUCGUGGUGGCUGUGGUUGGUACCCAUAUCGCGGGUAGAGCCUUCGUGUUCGACGUUUGAGUUGCGGUGCUGGUUGCGCAAAACUCGGGUGCUGUGACCCAGAGAUCAGUAGAGAUUUUAGGUAGAUCUCGCUCCUCAGCAAGGGGGAGUGCUUGCCCGGCAAGCAAGUACUCGAAUUGCUACCGGGGUGGUCGCUAUGUACAUAGCUAUAGCUUCCAGUCCGGGACGCUUGUCUGGCGUAUCCAGACUCAUGCACCAUGUUGAUACAUGCACCACUAGUGGGUGUUCAGGGUGUCGUGGUUGUAAUCCCUUCAGUGUGGAACACGCCACGUAAAACAAGUUCGGAGAGGUCCGAAAGUCACUGUCCGUAUCUACUAUCUAGCGAAACCACAGCCAAGGGAACGGGCUUGGAAUAAUUAGCGGGGAAAGAAGACCCUUUUGAGCUUGACUCUAAUCUGGCAGUGUAAGGAGACAUAAGAGGUGUAGAAUAAGUGGGAGAUAUUAGACCUCGGUUUGGUAUCGUCAAUGAAAUACCACUACUCUUAUUGUUUCCUUACUUACUUGAUUAAAUGGAACGUGUAUCAUUUCCUAGCCAUUAUACGGAUAUAUUUAUUAUAUCUUAUGGUAUUGGGUUUUGAUGCAAGCUUCUUGAUCAAAGUAUCACGAGUUUGUUAUAUAAUCGCAAACAAAUUCUUUAAUAAAACGAUGCAUUUAUGUAUUUUUGAUUUGAAAAUUUGGUAUAACUCCAAUUACUCAGGUAUGAUCCAAUUCAAGGACAUUGCCAGGUAGGGAGUUUGACUGGGGCGGUACAUCUCUCAAAUAAUAACGGAGGUGUCCCAAGGCCAGCUCAGUGCGGACAGAAACCACACAUAGAGCAAAAGGGCAAAUGCUGACUUGAUCUCGGUGUUCAGUACACACAGGGACAGCAAAAGCUCGGCCUAUCGAUCCUUUUGGUUUAAAGAGUUUUUAACAAGAGGUGUCAGAAAAGUUACCAUAGGGAUAACUGGCUUGUGGCGGCCAAGCGUUCAUAGCGACGUCGCUUUUUGAUCCUUCGAUGUCGGCUCUUCCUAUCAUUGUGAAGCAAAAUUCACCAAGCGUUGGAUUGUUCACCCAUGCAAGGGAACGUGAGCUGGGUUUAGACCGUCGUGAGACAGGUUAGUUUUACCCUACUAAUGACAAAACGUUGUUGCGACAGCAUUCCUGCGUAGUACGAGAGGAACCGCAGGUACGGACCAAUGGCACAAUACUUGUUCGAGCGAACAGUGGUAUGACGCUACGUCCGUUGGAUUAUGCCUGAACGCCUCUAAGGUCGUAUCCGUGCUGGACUGCAAUGAUAAAUAAGGGGCAAUUUGCAUUGUAUGGCUUCUAAACCAUUUAAAGUUUAUAAUUUAUUUUAUAAACGACAAUGGAUGUGAUGCCAAUGAAUUUGUAACAUAGUAAAUUUAGGAGGAUCUUCGAUCACCUGGAUGCCCGCGCUAGUUUCCAUAUAAAAGCAAUUAUU